rnacentral:rRNA from 1 species
UACAGAGACCUCAAGCGUUAUCCGGAAUCAUUGGGCGUAAAGCGUACCGAUAGGUGGUUAUACAAGUCAGAAGUGAAAUCUCCGAGCUCAACUCGGAAUCUGUCUUUUGAAACUGUAUGACUAGAGGGGCAAAGAGGAAGCUGGAACGAACGGUGUAGUAGUGAAAUGCGUUGAUAUCGUUCGGAACACCAAUAGCGUAGGCAGGCUUCUGGGUGCCACCUGACACUGCUAGGAGUAGAACUGGAGGGCGAAUGGG